rnacentral:lncRNA from 1 species
UUGACUUAGUUAAUCAUGGCAACAGCCUUAUGAGGUGUGUAUAAAUAUUACUACUGUUUUUCAGAUUCACAGGGAGAUCAAGUAUUUUGCCCAAGAGCACACAGCUAGGAAGUGGAGAAGUCCCGGUUCAACCCAGACAGAUUGACUCCUUCCUUCCACUGAUGCAUUCAUCCAUUCAUUCAACAAACAUUGAUGGAGCCCCUCUGGUGAGAGGAAACACACAAGUAAGCCGUUAGAGUCCAGUGUGCAAUCAAGGGUUAGAGCUGUGCACAGCUUUUGGAAGAGCAGAGUGGAGGGACACCUGACUGUUGGCAGUCAGGGGCAAGAUUUUCCUAAAGGAAGGGAGCUUGAGCUGAGCCUUUAAAGUCUUUUUUUUUUUUUUUUUUUUUAGAGACAUAUUCUCACUCUGUUUUCCAGACUGGAGCACAGUGGUGCCAUCUCUGCUCACCCCAACCUCUGCCUCCCAGGCUCAAACGAUUCUCCUGCCUCAGCCUCCUGAAUAAUUGGGAUUACAGACAUGUGCCACUACCGCCCAGCACUCACAGAAUAUUUAUGGAGGAAACAACAAAUGAAUUUAUUGAUUUUUAUCUAUUAAUUAUAUGGAAGUGAAUUCAGACUUCUUCAGGGUUAUGCUUACCUUUGCUUUUGAGAUGUAAAUUAGCAAAAACGAGAUUCCACUAAAACCUUGUCACAUAUAUAUAUUUGGAAAUCUGUGGAAUGGUCAACCCCAAACCAAAAUUUACAUAAGAUUAACUUAUUUCUUUCAAAUUUACAACCAAUGGAUUGUGGGGUGUGUGUGGUGUGUGUGUGUGUGUGCGCGUGUGUUCCAUUUGUAGCAUGUGUAGUUGCUUUAUCUAAUAUGUACAUUCUCUAAUUCACAGAUGGUUCCAACUUCCUACUCUUCCAGUUAAAAUAAACAAAAAGGAGGGUCCUGAGUGUUUAUGAUUUUCCUAAGAUCGAUGGUAUUUCUUCUGCAGAUGAUCAACAGUUGCCUGCCUUGGAAUUUGGAGUUCGUAAGAACUAGAAAAUCCAGGUCAGGAACUGUAUCUUUGCCCAGCCACCUGCAAACAGACUUGAGAACAAUGUAAACCACCCUCUGCAGGAUAUUGAUUCUGAUGGAGUAAAUGUUGAUUAAGCAGAAUGGUGUUUUUUUUUUUUAACUGGAGGAAUUCCAGAUCUUUCCUUAGGCCCGUCUCCCCAGGGAAAUGAGCUCUAUCCUCAAAAAUCUACAGAAAACCUGAGUAAGAAUGAAGAUUUAUGAUGGGAGAUGCUGGGCGGAAGACGGCUGGCUAUCUGGUGGGCUAUCUAGAAGCUCAUCUUUGUGUUAUUAGAGAAACACUCCCGCUCUUGACAGGAUAUGGUCUGCUUAUCACAUAAUCUUCUCAAGUUUCAUUCCCAUUCUGCUUACAAAUGCCCCAAAUAUAAAGAGAUGCAUUUCAUCAAGACAGCCUUUUAAGAGGCAGUUGAUCCCAGCUGUUGCCGUCUAUCUUAAACACCUACCUUUUCACCCUAGUGUGGAGUUUACAUGUCGAUAAGGGAUGUAAAAAAGGGAACUUGAGAAAUCUCAGCAGAGGAAAAACACCAAGGCUGUCUCCGGGGGUUGGAGUAGGAAUAAGAGCUCAGGAAGCUCUAAGUUCCAGAACACCCCUUCUUUUCAGAGAGGAGCCCUGGGGCGAUGCUGGCCUGCCCCAGGCCUUGAGCUGACCUCAAAUACCAGGGACUGGAAACCCUUUACCAGGCACAUAAGCUGAGG